GCCCCACAUUUGGUCUAAGGUGUUCCGCUGCAGCUCGACUUGGUAUAAAAUCUUGGCGCACACUUCAACGAUCUCGUGCGUGUGGAGCUGCAGAGAAAGGAUAAUUUUCACCAAUUCACUGAACCAUGGUAGGCUCAUCGGCCGGAAAUAUUUACCCCGCUUUUCGGACAGCACCGGUGCAAUUAAACGACGCUGCAGCUGUGCCCGUCUGCUUGCCUCGGUAUGGUGAAUUUAUCACACUCUCACCAUCGUCAUCGUCGCUCACUGCUGUCGUCAGUGACAUCCGGUCGUCGUCGGACAUCUGAAAUGAAAAACAUAUCAUCACUACGGAAAAUAGGGGAGUUUUUGAGAGAAGAGUGUGCUACCCUCGUCGGAUUUUUCCUACUUUGUGGAAGAAGUCGCUUUCAACACUGGACGCUCAACUUCCUUCCAUUAAUCACCCCGCCUCACGAUCGACACGACAUUCCGUGACAAGCUUCUGAACUCGAUCACGCGAGAUAGGGAGAAAGGCAACCCACUCAGACAGCUAACUUCAGCGAAGCUUGCGCUAAUCAGAGGGACGUUGCUCUUCGUCCCUUUGAUCUGGAGUCCGCCGUCGUGUGGGGAUGGUAGUGGCAGUAGCAGCCCUCCUUCAGCAGCUUCAUGUUCCUUUUGGCCGUACCGUUUAUCUUGAACAUGAUUUCCUCCUUGGCGAAUUUCAGCCCGUCGAUGUACCUGUGUGCCCACGUGUUUAACGCCCCGUUUAUGAUCUUAAGAAGCUUGUAAUAAUACCCCUCGCCGAGACCGGGGUUAAUCUUCUCUUCGACGCUCUUGCAGUUGAACCAAUACAACUUUUUCGUCUCAUUUAUGCAGAUCACGCUCACCGUGUGACG
rnacentral:lncRNA from 1 species